rnacentral:rRNA from 1 species
UACGUAGGUGGCAAGCGUUGUCCGGAAUUACUGGGUGUAAAGCGCGUGUAGGCGGCAGACCAAGUCGGCGGUGAAAGCGCCCGGCUCAACUGGGCGAGGUCCGUGGAAACUGGUCAGCUGGAGGACGGUAGAGGCGAGUGGAAUUCCCGGUGUAGCAGUGAAAUGCGUAGAGAUCGGGAGGAACAUCUGUGGCGAAGGCGGCCACCUGGACCUACACUGACACUGAGGCACGAAAGCGUGGGGAGCAAACAGG